rnacentral:rRNA from 1 species
GAUGAACGCUGGCGGUAUGCUUAACACAUGCAAGUCGAACGGACUCUUCGGAGUUAGUGGCGGACGGGUGAGUAACGCGUGAGAAUCUGGCUUUGGGUUCGGGACAACCACUGGAAACGGUGGCUAAUACCGGAUGUGCCGAGAGGUAAAAGAGAAAUUGACUGAAGAUGAGCUCGCGUCUGAUUAGCUAGUUGGUGAGGUAAAGGCUCACCAAGGCAGCGAUCAGUAGCUGGUCUGAGAGGAUGACCAGCCACACUGGGACUGAGACACGGCCCAGACUCCUACGGGAGGCAGCAGUGGGGAAUUUUCCGCAAUGGGCGCAAGCCUGACGGAGCAAUACCGCGUGAGGGAAGAAGGCUCUUGGGUUGUAAACCUCUUUUCUUAGGGAAGAACAAAAUGACGGUACCUAAGGAAUCAGCAUCGGCUAACUCCGUG